GACGAACGCUGGCGGCGUGCUUAACACAUGCAAGUCGAACGGUAAGGCCCUUCGGGGUACACGAGUGGCGAACGGGUGAGUAACACGUGGGUGAUCUGCCCUGCACUUCGGGAUAAGCCUGGGAAACUGGGUCUAAUACCGGAUAGGACCAUUGCCUGCCUGGGUGGUGGUGGAGAGCUUUUGUGGUGUGGGAUGGGCCCGAGGCCUAUCAGCUUGGUGGUGGGGUGAUGGCCUACCAAGGCGACGGCGGGUAGCCGGCCUGAGAGGGUGACCGGCCACACAGGGACUGAGAUACGGCCCAGACUCCUACGGGAGGCAGCAGUGGGGAAUAUUACACAAUGGGCGCAAGCCUGAUGCAGCGACGCCGCGUGAGGGAUGACGGCCUUCGGGUUGUAAACCUCUUUCAGCACCGACGAAGCGCAAGUGACGGUAGGUGCAGAAGAAGGACCGGCCAACUACGUGCCAGCCGCCGCAGUAA
rnacentral:rRNA from 1 species